rnacentral:rRNA from 1 species
GACGAACGCUGGCGGCGUGCCUAAUACAUGCAAGUUGAGCGCUGAAGGUUGGUACUUGUCCCAACUGGAUGAGCAGCGAACGGGUGAGUAACGCGUGGAGAAUCUGCCUUUGAGCGGGGGACAACAUUUGGAAACGAAUGCUAAUACCGCAUAAAAACUUUAAACACAAGUUUUAAGUUUGAAAGAUGCAAUUGCAUCACUCAAAGAUGAUCCCGCGUUGUAUUAGCUAGUUGGUGAGGUAAAGGCUCACCAAGGCGAUGAUACAUAGCCGACCUGAGAGGGUGAUCGGCCACAUUGGGACUGAGACACGGCCCAAACUCCUACGGGAGGCAGCAGUAGGGAAUCUUCGGCAAUGGACGAAAGUCUGACCGAGCAACGCCGCGUGAGUGAAGAAGGGUUUCGGAUCGUAAAACUCUGUUGGUAGAGAAGAACGUUGGUGAGAGUGGAAAGCUCAUCAAGUGACGGUAACUACCCAGAAAGGGACGGCUAACUACGUG